AUUGAACGCUGGCGGCAUGCUUUACACAUGCAAGUCGAACGGUAACAGGCCGCAAGGUGCUGACGAGUGGCGAACGGGUGAGUAAUGCAUCGGAACGUGCCCAGUCGUGGGGGAUAACGCAGCGAAAGCUGUGCUAAUACCGCAUACGAUCUAUGGAUGAAAGCGGGGGACCGUAAGGCCUCGCGCGAUUGGAGCGGCCGAUGUCAGAUUAGGUAGUUGGUGGGGUAAAGGCCCACCAAGCCAACGAUCUGUAGCUGGUCUGAGAGGACGACCAGGCACACUGGGACUGAGACACGGCCCAGACUCCUACGGGAGGCAGCAGUGGGGAAUUUUGGACAAUGGGCGCAAGCCUGAUCCAGCAAUGCCGCGUGCAGGAAGAAGGCCUUCGGGUUGUAAACUGCUUUUGUACGGAACGAAACGGUCUGGGUUAAUACCCUGGGCUAAUGACGGUACCGUAAGAAUAAGCACCGGCUAACUACGUGCCAGCCGCCGCCGUAAUAC
rnacentral:rRNA from 1 species